rnacentral:rRNA from 1 species
CGAGCGAACAGAUGAGGAGCUUGCUCCUCUGACGUUAGCGGCGGACGGGUGAGUAACACGUGGAUAACCUACCUAUAAGACUGGGAUAACUUCGGGAAACCGGAGCUAAUACCGGAUAAUAUAUUGAACCGCAUGGUUCAAUAGUGAAAGACGGUUUUGCUGUCACUUAUAGAUGGAUCCGCGCCGCAUUAGCUAGUUGGUAAGGUAACGGCUUACCAAGGCAACGAUGCGUAGCCGACCUGAGAGGGUGAUCGGCCACACUGGAACUGAGACACGGUCCAGACUCCUACGGGAGGCAGCAGUAGGGAAUCUUCCGCAAUGGGCGAAAGCCUGACGGAGCAACGCCGCGUGAGUGAUGAAGGUCUUCGGAUCGUAAAACUCUGUUAUUAGGGAAGAACAAAUGUGUAAGUAACUAUGCACGUCUUGACGGUACCUAAUCAGAAAGCCACGGCUAACUACGUGCCAGCAGCCGCGGUAAUACGUAGGUGGCAAGCGUUAUCCGGAAUUAUUGGGCGUAAAGCGCGCGUAGGCGGUUUUUUAAGUCUGAUGUGAAAGCCCACGGCUCAACCGUGGAGGGUCAUUGGAAACUGGAAAACUUGAGUGCAGAAGAGGAAAGUGGAAUUCCAUGUGUAGCGGUGAAAUGCGCAGAGAUAUGGAGGAACACCAGUGGCGAAGGCGACUUUCUGGUCUGUAACUGACGCUGAUGUGCGAAAG